UACGUAGGGUGCAAGCGUUAAUCGGAAUUACUGGGCGUAAAGCGUGCGCAGGCGGUUGUGCAAGACAGAUGUGAAAUCCCCGGGCUUAACCUGGGAAUUGCAUUUGUGACUGUACGGCUAGAGUGUGUCAGAGGGGGGUAGAAUUCCACGUGUAGCAGUGAAAUGCGUAGAGAUGUGGAGGAAUGCCGAUGGCGAAGGCAGCCCCCUGGGAUAACACUGACGCUCAUGCACGAAAGCGUGGGGAGCAAACAGG
rnacentral:rRNA from 1 species